rnacentral:lncRNA from 1 species
UAAGCAGAAUGCAUACACACAUUGUAAUGCCAAUUUUGGCGAGACAGGCAUUUGAAAACUGUCUCACAUGCGCAUAUGAAUCAAAAUGCAGUUAUCCACAAGUAUCUAUAACAUAGCAGGUUACAAAAUCCUCCAUGAAAUGAUAGUUUACAACAUAGAUUGACAAAAUACAACACUUGGAAAAGUUAGAAAACAGUACAAUCCAGUUCACACAAACAGAACAUUUAAACUAUUGAAGUUGCUAUUCAAGUUCUUGCUGUCGCCCCUCUUGAUGGAAAUUAUCAUGUCAGUGCAAAUUGUGAUGGGGCAGCACCAAGUAGCCCGGUACGCAAUCAUACCUAGCAUAUUUACAACACCAUUAGAUAUUUGUAGAUAUGAAUAGAUUGUAAAAAUAAGAGAAUUGAAACAAAUAUAAAAAAUGAAUAACUCAUGCUGUCCAAAAUUCUUAAAUCUUGCACUGCUACAAGUGAGAAUAACAUAGUAUCUACUACAUACAUGUUUCAUGUAGAUCCGUAUUAAUUAAAACAACCAAGUUAUGGGUAAAAAAAUGAAAUGUCAAGUACUUGUGCAUAUCAUCCAAACAAGAAAAACAAAAACACUGGGGGACAAUAUAUACUGCAGUGCAAAAGAUUCAUUCAAUUAUCUUAUGUCCAGUCAUCCUUGAUGAUAAGUUAUUAAUAUAGAAGAAGGGAUAGUUAUGCGCUGAGAAAACAAACAACUACAUACUUCUACAGUUGUGUCCAGUAGUAUAUUAUUUUUCCAUCCUUGUAAGUAGGCAUGAAUCGACUUGUCAAUAUUUGGCAGAACAACACCUUUGGGUACCACCAAUUUGCAAAAAAUAGGUUACCCAACCCCAGAACCUACCCUAUUAUAUAUAGCAUUAAGAAAUUGGGCAUACCCUAAAGAACAAUAUCCACAUAUUGUUGACACUUGACAGUUGACCAAAAAAGAUAUAUAGUGAAAAUAAAACCAAAAGGCUAUGAAAGAGACAGUAAUAGACCUAUCUAAGAAUGUGGACAUUUUGCCCAAGGAUAAAUUUCUCUUGCAACCAUAAGAGAACAUCAACAUACAGCUGAAGAAUUACUAUUUGACAAGAAGCAUUUGACAGGAACAAUAGUAAAUAAAUUAAUAAGUGGUGAUGCAAAAUUACCACCAGCAGUUUGUGAGGUAACACGAUACCAGUGCAGCCUGGAGGAUCGACAUCAUAAGCUUCGCUUACAUGUAGCUAGGGCCACAUCAAUCUCAGCACCAACAUCCAAAGAUCCGCAGUCCCAUCAAAAUGUCCAACCUUAGGCUCCAAUCUGGGUGUUGAGAAAAUUGCAUACAAAAUCUGGGUGUCUAUGAGAUAGACCUGGGCAAAGCAUCCGACAAAACUUAGCACACUGUUAAAACAACUUUUGACAGAGAAUUGAGACAUACAAGAAUUUCAUUGGAGCCCAAAGUGCAAUGACAACACCAAUAUUAUUAUUUGCUGCAAACCAAGAUCAAAUAAUAAGAACACCAAACUUUUCAAACCUGAAGAUUGUUACACUAUUUCAUUAUCUAUGUGUGCCUCUAAAUCUCUAAAGCUAUAGAUUUUACACUAUUUCAUUAUUUCAUUUUAGAGCCUCAAUCAUGUAGAAUGGGACAACUUAUUCAGUGGUAAAUCUUGUGCCCCUCCCUCUAGCUCAGGGAGUAGCUUAUUCAGUGGUAAAGCUGUGUGCCUCUCCCUCUGCCUCUCAACUUUUGUAGAUGGAAGAAAGUUACUUCUAAAUCUUGCCGUGGUAUGUUCAAUCAUAGAAGUUUCACAACACCAUAUACCAACAUAUAUUGUGAAAAUGUGCCUUGACUGUCACAUGCACACACCAAGAAACAUCCAAUAUUAAUUCAGAUAGGAACAUGUACGUACAUAUGCAGGAUUUUCUUAUCAAGAAUACUGAUGAGUCCUUAAGCUAGGCAUGGUCAGAACUAACAAGUACUAACUCUGUCUCAAAAUAUAAGACAUUUUUGUAGGCUAGUUUAGCCUAUAAAAACGACUUAUAUUUCAAGAUGGAGGUAGUAUGACUCAACUAGCAUUGAUAUUUGAUCCUAACAGCAACAAAGAUGAGUACAUCCACUAGCGGAGCUUCAUGAGGGCAAAACAAGGCCGUGGCCCGCCCAGCUCCAGAGACAAAUAAAACUCUUUUGUACAUGUAACAGUUUAAUCCAAUAGCAUGUCUCCCUCGCAUCCAGCUAUGAGCUCUCUGCCCCGAUUCAGCACUGAGCAAGCCACUCAGAGAUGGAGAGGUCCAAUAGCCAGGCAGUCGGGCGCCGCAUGUAGCAACCCCUACGGUGACCCAUCCCUAUGCCACGACGGGCGUGGCCAUGGCGGCUGCCAGCGGCUAGCCACCGAUGAACUACCCAGGUGACGAGCACAAGACCAUAGAACCAGCAGGCAGCUAGCGCACAAGAAAUUUCGUUUAUUUGUCCAAAUUUUACUUGACAACAUCAUCCUGUUACCAGUUUCCCUAUACAGGCAACCUGAAAUUUCACUAACUCAUGCCUACUGGACUGUAUGGUUUAGAAAAAAAAAUUGGCCCGCCCAACUUAUUUGUUGUAGCUCCGCCACUGAGUACAUCUAACUUAGACAAGUUUUGCACAUCGUUAAUUAUUAGUUUGCAACUACGCCAGGGAGUAAAGACAAUAUAAAAAUAUAGAGAUAUACCAGGCUAAUAACAAUAGGAAGGAGAAGAACACGAAUAUGCUUUAUUCAUUAGUGGCAUGGCCUAAUUAGGAACUAGACGUGAACCACCACACAGCUUAUCUAACUAAUAGUUAUUUAAGACAAAUUCUACACUGCUAAUGCUCGCACGGUGAGAGAAGAAAAAGGAAAUAGCUAGCAGUGCUAGUCUGUCGUUGGCUGUAACUUGGCUGUAGCUUGCGAGUAUCAGGAAAUGAAGUUAACACGUUUUCUACAUCAGGUUCAGUUCAAGAAAAUUGGUGAGCCCCUAGAGAACUAUGCUAGAGAAGAGCAGCAGGCACUUGAAAGAAAAGAAAAACAGAACGAGAGAGUCAACCUUAUUGUUCUGUGGCGAAUCAUGAUGGUUGGCUCGCAUGACCUCGCCGUUCCAGCUCGUCGGGUUUGAGCAUGGGGUCCCGGUCGUCGCCGUCCAUGGAAUUGGAGAGGCAGAGAGCUCCUACUGAU